GAUGAACGCUGGCGGCGUGCCUAAUACAUGCAAGUCGAGCGAACGGACGAGGAGCUUGCUUCUCUGAUGUUAGCGGCGGACGGGUGAGUAACACGUGGAUAACCUACCUAUAAGACUGGGAUAACUUCGGGAAACCGGAGCUAAUACCGGAUAAUAUUUUGAACCGCAUGGUUCAAGAGUGAAAGACGGUCUUGCUGUCACUUAUAGAUGGAUCCGCGCUGCAUUAGCUAGUUGGUAAGGUAACGGCUUACCAAGGCAACGAUGCAUAGCCGACCUGAGAGGGUGAUCGGCCACCCUGGCACUGAGACACGGUCCCGACUCUUACGGGAGGCCGCAGUAGGGAAUCCUACGCAAUGGGCGAAAGCCUGACGGAGCACCGCCGCGUGAGUGCUGAAGGUCUUAGGCUCGUAAAACUAUGUUAUCAGGGAAGAACAUAUGUGUAAGUACCUGUGCACAUCUUGACGGUACCUAAUCAGAAAGCCACGGCUAACUCCGUG
rnacentral:rRNA from 1 species